CUCCUCCCACUCAUUCAUAAUCCGACCUCCGCGUUUGCACUCGCUGCCUACAAGAGCGCCCAAAUUUGAACAUCACUGAUGUUCAUCGGAUUUACAGAGUGACGACAACCCCCGUCAGCAUGUUAGAUAAAGGAUUUAAGUUAUAUGCUGCAUCAUAUAUACACAACUACGAAGUGUCCAAAAAACACAGGUUGACAGGGGAAGUCGGUGUGAGAGCCCUGUGCUACAGGUCAAUGAGGAAGAGUGAGGCACCACACAGACUAAGUGUAGGCAGGAAGCUGUGUAAAGUUGUUAAUCCCUGUUCAGUGGGGUUCAGUUCAUUUAAGCAUUAGUUAAGUUCAUUCCUGAAGGCCCAUCAACUUGAAUGUUUUCCUUGUCCCCCUGCUUUAUCACACCUAAUUUGACUAGUCAGAUGUGUUUGGGUGAUCAGAAACAAAUUUACACCAAGUUAAUACUGCAAAUAUACACAAUCUAAGUUAUUACAGUUAUCAAGGAUGGUUAAAUUGUUUUAAUAGGGAGAGAAGGAAACACUAAGCAUUCAGGAGGGUAAGCCUGUAGGGGUCAGUAACCAUAACACUGAACUAUGUUCCUGUUCGGCUCUUCCAUGAAGAUGAUGUUACAUUUUUAAUUUUAGUUCUUUCUUCUUAGAUUAAGCUUCUGGAUUCAUCGCCGGUGGUACUGACACAUAGCCAGUGCUCCUGUGUGGCAGGUGCUGUUAUGUGCAAUCACACAGUGGCACUGCUCUUCCAAACAGCACACUACUCACAACUCAGAGUGCCGGUUGUCCCCCUGUGCAUAGCUGCACCGAAUCUGAACAGCAAUGGCACAAGCCACGGACAGUGGGUGUGAAGCCAGGACCUAUCAACUCUAUGAUCUUCACUAAGCCGGUACCAAAUAGGAUGGCCCAGACUGGAGUACGGAGUGGAUUCUACAGAGGCAUUGUGGGUCCAUUACCAGAUCCCUGACCUGACAAGCCCCUUGUGGAAAGUGCCUUUGGGCUGGUGCAGGAGGGCAGUGUUCUGUCAUGUCAGCAGCCGGUUUUGACAACCCGGUACAUCACACUACACCGUGAUGCACCACCAACACCGCACUUGCCUCUGGAGUAUGGGUAUGACAUCAAGGAAACCCUGCUCGCUCAGACAGCCUGUGAUAUUUUCUCAAACCGCUGCGCUGAACAAGUUUCCAAAGAACAUGCUGUGUGACACAAUAAAUAUCCUUUAACCUGUUAACCUGUGGCUUCUGGAAGAAACUCGGGUGAGUCAGUCACUGCAAACACAUUUGUAUCAUCAAGUGUUUGUCAAAUGAAAAUGAUAUGUUUUUCUACACUUAGGAUAAUUUUCUAUGUUGCAGUGCAGUAAAGUGCACGUUUCUUCUGUGUUCAAUCAUACAUGUUCUAAUUGUUAUAAACAGAAAAAAUCUUUUCUUACUUAACUGCUUGAUUCUUAACUUGUUUAACUGAAACAUGAUGAAAUGUCAUAGUAUUUUUUUUUUUAAAUGUCCUUGGCAGUGCAUGUGUCUGCAUUGUAACUUACUAAUAAAAAGUCCUGUGUGUACUUUGGUGUGUGGUUUAUGUUAUUUUAUUGCAAAUAAAUAAUAGUCAUUUUAUUUUACAGUUACACACAAUCUUAUAUCUCUGGCAUGGCAAGGCAACGCAAUAUCGGGUACAUGCAAUUCGAAACCUGACAUUCCAGAGCAAAGCAUGAAGCACACAGCACGUGGUCAACGUGACUCAUAUGGAGACUGACAACAUUACAAGGAAUAAAGGAAAAUUGAGGACUUAGCCACAGAAAAGACUUUUUUCCUUUUUUUGUUACAAUAAUUCGAAAAGGUCAACUAUGAUUUUUAAAUUAAUAUCAUAGGUGUGAGUUUAGAGUUCAGAUUUUUUCUGCACAUUCUUUCUUUUUGUAUUUAAUUAUGAUGGUAAAUACAUUUCGCAACAUAUCUGCCUGCACUUGCUCUUAAAGUAGGAACAGUUCACCUUUCCAGCUGUAUUUUUAAUACUGAUGAGUUUACUUUAAUUGUUAGCCUAUUGGUCAAAAUGUAUUGUUCUUCUGAUUCAUGUGUAAUGCUUUACUCAAAUAAUACAUCCACAUUUCAGCACGUAAGCAGCUGUUUGUCUCAGUAUUACCUGAUAACAUACUGAGGCCUGCUGAUCACGAAGUAUGUGGGAAAUAAAAGCAUGUUAGGAAGAGACUAGGGCCAUUUUCAGUUCGCGCCUGCUUUCUCUCCAA